AGCUAUUGUCAGAACCAAAAAGUCCUGAGUUUAUGGGAAAGAGUGAGCUUACUAGUUAUGUAAGAUAUUACACUCUCUAUCACAAAAAAAAGCAAGUAUGCGGUAACAAUUCUUCGAUUCCAUGACUCUUUUUAAUUGGCAAGUUGUUGUGCUUCUUCCGUCGGUCUAAAACAACUAAAUUCUUAUUUAUUGACAUCUUUAAGACCAAAAUAGUCGCUUGUCAAA